CGGGAGGCAGCAGUUAGGAAUCUUCCGCAAUGGGCGCAAGCCUGACGGAGCGACGCCGCUUGGAGGAUGAAGCCCUUCGGGGUGUAAACUCCUGAACUGGGGGCGAAAUCCCUGAUGAGGGGGCUGACGGUACCCAGGUAAUAGCGCCGGCCAACUCCGUGCCAGCAGCCGCGGUAAUACGGAGGGCGCGAGCGUUACCCGGAUUUACUGGGCGUAAAGGGCGUGUGGGCGGUUUGGCGCGUCUGGCGUUAAAGACCGCGGCUCAACCGUGGGGGUGCGCUGGAUACGGCCAAGCUAGACGGCUGGAGGGGGUGGUGGAAUUCCCGGAGUAGCGGUGAAAUGCGCAGAUACCGGGAGGAACGCCGAUAGCGAAGGCAGCCACCUGGCCAGUUUGUGACGCUGAGGCGCGAGAGCGUGGGGAGCAAACCGGAUUAGAUACCCGGGUAGUCCACGCCCUAAAC
rnacentral:rRNA from 1 species